rnacentral:rRNA from 1 species
AUUGAACGCUGGCGGCAUGCCUUACACAUGCAAGUCGAACGGUAACAGGGCUUCGGAUCUUGACGAGAGGCGGACGGGGGAGAAAUGUAUCGGCACGCGCCCGAUCGUGGGGGAGAAUGAAGCGCAAGCGCUGCAAAUACCGCACACGCUCUACGAAGGAAAACAGGGGACCGCAAGUGCUUGCUCGCACGGAGCGCCCGAUGGCGGAUUAUGUAGUUGGUGGGGUAAAGGCGUACCAAGGAGACGAUCUCCGGCUGGUCUGAGAGGACGACCAGCCACACUGGGACUGAGACACGGACCCGACUCCUCCGGGAGGCAGCAGUGGGGAAUUUUGGACAAUGGGCGCAAGCCUGAUCCAGCCAUGCCGAGUGAGGGAAGAAGGCCUUCGGGUUGUAAACCGCUUUUGUUCGGGAAGAAAAGAUUUUGGUUAAUACCUGGGGUCCAUGACGGUACCGGAAGAAUAAGCACCGGCUAACUACGUG